UACGUAGGGUGCGGGCGUUAAUCGGAAUUACUGGGCGUAAAGCGUGCGCAGGCGGUUCUGAAAGUCAGCUGUGAAAGCCCCGGGCUUAACCUGGGAACUGCGGUUGAAACUACAGGACUAGAAUCUGGCAGAGGGGGGUGGAAUUCCACGUGUAGCAGUGAAAUGCGUAGAGAUGUGGAGGAACACCGAUGGCGAAGGCAGCCCCCUGGGCUGAGAUUGACGCUCAGGCACGAAAGCGUGGGGAGCAAACAGG
rnacentral:rRNA from 1 species